CAUAUGAACACAAUGUCGUGUAAGCAACAUCAUUAAAUGAAUUAUACUCUUCUAACAUAAGUGUUUAACAUUUUGCCAUGAACUUGAAAACAGUGAUAUGAAAUCAACUCCCCUUCUGUAGGAUAUUCAUACAAUUUUGAAAUAACUGGUUAUUUGGUUUGAUUGCUUGGGUAUGCUAUUCUUUAACAACAAUGUAUUAUGAAACCUGUUAGCUAUAAUCUUCCAUAUUAAAAGAACAAUGCAAUUUGGUGUUUGGUGGUUGUUAUGAACACACAAAAUGAAGGUAGACACAGACAAAUAAUUAAUUCUGCCUUUAUUGUCAAAGAAAAAGAAAUUUUAAAUUUAACCAAGAGCAUGAGCCAGGUACACAAAGAACCAAUUUUAAAAAUUAAGAGAAGGAAAAAAAAGUUUUGUUGAUGACAUCCCUUACUUGGACAUAAAUAUUACAGGGAAAAUCCGGAAACAUUAUCAAUUGAGUUUUAUUUUUAUGAAUGAUCUUUCACAAUCGUAACCUAGACAGAUUCUUAAAAAAGAGUUAGAAAUUGCAGACUAAAAGGAUCUAAACAUUCUAUCUAAAGAUUUUAUGGGGGUACUUCAGUGGGAAUGCCAUAUGCCACUUCACUCUCCCUCCAGACCUGCAUCAAAGAAGUAAUAAAUCGAACCAGCUUCUUUCUUGUUAGGAAGGGGUGGGGUAAGCCAAUUUAAUGCUUUAUGUCUGCUGGUUGUAAAAGGGGAUGCUUACCUAAAAAGAAAUACAUUCUGACCAGAUGUUCUCAAAAUCUUCCUGAGUUCCUGCUUAAAACUUCACAGUUACCAAAUACUUUUUCUCAUUUGUCUUCUUCUAAUUCAGAAAUUGUUGAUCCAUGGCCAUUCAACAAGCAGGUGAUACAAAAGCCUUCCAGCCAAAGCAUUGCAGUCUUAUUCUCCUGCACACAAAAACUUCCAGUGUCUAUACGGGGACAGGAAAAAAGAACGGGCCACUUCAUUCAGCAGGCAGAGAGUUCAGUAAUAGAAAUAAAGAAGAAAGAGGAGCAGAAGAGAAACAAGGAGAAUGGGAAGUUGAAGAGAAGGAAAGAUGAAGGAGGAGAAAGAAGAAUCUAAAUAAAUACUAAGGUGCUACAUGUGCAAAGAGUUUACUCUAUCCCAGACGAGUCAGCCAUGUGCCUUGUCCAAUGUAAUUAGUAUUACAAAAGAAGUACAUAUAAAAUGCAGAUAACUGAGGCAUUACUUGGGGGGAAGCAUAUGCUUUCUAUAUGUAAAGAAAUUCUUCCUCAAACUGUAUAUGAGGUGAAUCAAAAAGAAUGAAUAGGAGUUCAGUAGGCACAUAUGUCUGAACAUUAAAGAACAGAACCAGAGCUAAUUUAACAAAAAGGCAAUUUCUAUAAACUGGUAUUUGUCAAACUGUGGUCCCCAAACCAGGAGCAGCAGCAUUGCCUGAGAACUUGUUCAAAAUAAUUCUCAGGCCUGUCCCAUAACUACUAAACCAGACAAUCUGAGGGUGGGAGUUUGUGUUUAGACAAGCCCUUCAAAUGAUUAUGAUGCACACAAAAGUUUGAAAACCACUGUUUUAGAGAAAUAUAGCAACUAGUUUAAAAAAUUAUGCUGAAUCUUUAAAGACAAAAAAAUUAGAGUCCCAACUUAACACAAUAAAUUGACCACACAGUUUUAUCUUUGCUCCCUUCCCAAACCUCACUAAAUGAAGAUUAAAGAAAUGUUUUAAGUUCUUAUCCAACCAAGUCAAACAGAAGAGGAGAAAAUAACUACCAACUAUUUCAAAAUCGUUUGGAAGAUGAGAGCCUGAUGUGGGAUUCCUAACUGCCUUCAUAGACAGAAGUCACAUAAGUUACAGGGUUAGUGCCUCCAGAAGGCAAGGUCUGUAAGAAGAGAAGUGAGUCCACUCAUGAGAGAUAACUGAGGGACUUAGUGCUUGAAGGCACCAAGCAUCCUGGAAGAUGAUGUUGAUGUGGGAGCCUAAAAUGAGGAAUCUGGCUGUAAAAUACAUAGAGUAGUUGACUUCCCUUCUACUUCUGCCCCUCAGGAGACAGGGGAUAUAUUCUCUGGAGAAACUGAACUGCAAGGGUCCAGCUUUGAUAGAGAUGAAUCAGAGCGCCGAGCACAAGACAAUUAGGUAAAAGUCUUCAGGAUGAACUGAAUGGCUCUCACAGCUCAUCUCAUUUGUGAUUCCCAGAAAACCUGUAUCUAAGAAUAUAUCUUGCACCAUGAGGGAGGUUGGAGGUCUGUCUUCUGGAGAUCCCAAUAAAAGGACUAGUAACUGAUAACCUUCCAGUGAAGUCUGCCACUUGACUACUCCCAUCCACAAAAACUCUUUUUGGUGCUUAAAUAUAACCAGCCAAUAAUCACCAGAUUUGAAGAAACCUUCCAGUAUGUAGAGACCUGCAUGUAAAGAACAGAUACAAAGAACCCGAGAAAAUAAAUGCAUUCUGCUUAUCCCAAUUAUCUUCAGAAAGAUAAGAGGAUACUUUACAUUACAUACACAAAAUCGUAUAGCUAUGAAAAGGGAACAUUAAGUAAAUGAAACACAGGUCUUUGACAGUAAAAACAAGAUAACUACAGUGAAAAAACAUAUUUAAUAAAAAGUUUAGAAAUGAAUCAAGAAAAUCUCUCAGAAGAGAGAGAGAAAUUAGAAAAGGAAAUGAAAUCACUACAUUAAUCCAGGAGAACUAGAAGGAGAGGAAAGGAGAAAACAAAGGUGAGGAAAUUAUCAAAGAAAUACUUCAAGAACUGAAAGACAUAUCUCUAAACUGAAAGGGCCCACAGAGUACGUGGGAUAACAAAAACUCACAAGAAUGUACAUCACCAUGAAAUUAAAGGACAGGAGAGAAAGAAAAUUCUAAAAGGGACAGAGAUAGUACACAUACAAAAGACAUCAUUCAGAAUAUCAUUGAGCUUUUGGAAAAGAAACAUCAAAAUGAUGUACAAUGGGGAAUCAAUAACUUCAAAAUGUAGAGGAAAACAAUAUUUAACCUACUAUUCCAUACUCAGCUAAACUAUUAAUCAUAGGUAAAACAUUUUCUAGACAUACAAAAAUUCAAAAAAAUUGAGCCCCACAUAACCUUUCCUGGAAGCUACUGGAGGAAGUGCCUCAGCAAAAGAGAAAGUGAAUUAAGAAAGAAGAACCUAUGAACACCAGAAAAUAGGGACCCUGACACUUAAGAGGCAAAGGGAAUUUGUAGGACGUUGGUAAAGAGAAUUGUGCAACCCAAGCUGUGAGCCAGAACUCAAAAGUAUCCUAUCAGAUGAGAAUGAAUUACAGAGUAUAAGCUGAAAAUCUCCAAACAAUAAAAGUGGGUAGGUCAUUUAGUAUGUUUGAGAAUUAACAGAAUUUAUUUCUGUGUGCAGAACAUUUGAGGGGAAAAUGAACUACUUAUAUAUGAGAAAACACAAUACCAAGCAAUUAUUAACCAUAGAAAAAACCGAAGUUCAUAUAAGAAAAUUAAUCUUCUGAGAUAUUAUUUGACUUAGCUGUAAAUAAUAUUUCACAUAUAAAAUAAUGUAAAUAUUCAUACAGAUAUAACUGAGAGCACAGAAGACAGGAAGGAGGUUUGGAAAGUGGGAAUAUAGCAGAUCCAAAACAGGGAGGAAGUUAACAAUUAUAGCUUAGCGUUGGUAAGUUAUGGAGUAGCAGAAUGGGAUAUUUUACCAGCUAGUGGUAUAUGGGUGCAAAAACAAAGGAAAGUUAGAGGACAGAAAAAGAAGAGAAAAACAGACUGUUUUGUGAUGUGAUCAGGCUGUCUCUGAGUCAGAUACAUGAAUUUUAAAAGAAACCAGCUAUGCCAAAUUGGGAAUAAGUACGCCAGGAAGCAGUAGUAACAAGUCUUUGAAAAUUUUGAAACAGGAAUAUAUUCGGUGUGUUUCAGAGAGGACAAGAAGACUAGUAAGCACUGAGCAAACAGGAACAAUAAAAGAAACA
ensembl:lncRNA